UGGACGUGGCGGCGGGCUAACAAUGCAGUCGAGCGCGCCCUUCGUGGGUGAGCGGCGCCACGGGUGAGUAACGCGUGGGAACGUGCCCUUUUCUACGGAAUACCCUCCGGAAACUGAGAGUAAUACCGUAUACGCCCUUUGGGGGAAAGAUUUAUCGGAAAAGGAUCGGCCCGCGUUGGAUUAAGUAGUUGGUGGGGUAAUGGCCUACCAAGCCGACGAUCCAUAGCUGGUUUGAGAGGAUGAUCAGCCACACUGGGACUGAAACACGGCCCAAACUCCUACGGGAGGCAGCAAUGGGGAAUCUUAGACAAUGGGGGCAACCCUGAUCUAGCCAUGCCGCGUGAGUGAUGAAGGCCUUACGGUUGUAAAGCUCUUUCACCUGGGAAGAUAAUGACGGUACCUCCAUAAGAAGCCCCGGCUAACUCCGUGCCAGCAGCCGCGGUAAUACGGAGGGGGCUAGCGUUGUUCGGAAUUACUGGGCGUAAAGCGCACGUAGGCGGACCACAAAGUUGGGGGUGAAAUCCCGGGGCUCAACCUCGGAACUGCCUUCAAAACUAUUGGUCUGGAGUUCCAGAGAGGUGAGUGGAAUUCCCAGUGUAGAGGUGAAAUUCGUAGAUAUUCGGAGGAACACCUUUGGCGAAGGCGGCUCACUGGCUCGAUACUGACGCUGAGGUGCGAAAGCGUGGGGGAGCAAACAGGAUUAUAUACCCUGGUAGUCCACGCCGUAAACGAUGAAUGCCAGACGUCGGGCAGCAUGCUGUUCCGUGUCACACCUAACGGAUUAAGCAUUCCGCCUGGGGAGUACGGUCGCAAGAUUAAGACUCACAGGAAUUGACGCGGGCCCGUCACAAGCGGUGGCACUAUGUGGUUGUAAAUUCGAAGUCAACGCGACAUGAAACUUCACCAACACCUUGACAUCCCCACGACCCGCAUCCAGAGAUGGAGGUUUUCUCAUUAUCAGACCUGAGUCGACAGGAUGCUUGCAUGGGCUGUCGAUCAUGCUCGUGUUCGUGUAGAUGAUGCAGGUUAAGUUCCGGCUACGAGGCGCAACCCAGCACAUUGUCAGGUUGCUCGUCAUUCAACUGGGCCACUUCCUGUAGAUCUUGCCGUAUGCAUUACCUCGAAGAACGGUAGUCGCAUGACGUUCAGGUCCUCAUUGAUACUUUACAGGCAUUGGGCUUACACAACGUGCUAACAAUGAUGUCGACGAGGGUUUACUC
rnacentral:rRNA from 1 species